UGGGGAAUCUUGCGCAAUGGCCGAAAGGCUGACGCAGCGACGCCGCGUGGGGGAGGAAGGCCUUCGGGUUGUAAACCCCUGUUGCCCGGGACGAAUGCGUACCAUUGGGUGCGUUGACGGUACCGGGUGAGGAAGCACCGGCUAACUCCGUGCCAGCAGCCGCGGUAAUACGGAGGGUGCAAGCGUUGUCCGGAAUCACUGGGCGUAAAGGGCGCGUAGGCGGCUCAUGAAGGCUGUGGUGAAAGUCCGGGGCUCAACCUCGGAUCGGCCGUGGCGACUCGUGGGCUGGAGCACUGUAGAGGCGGGUGGAAUUCCGGGUGUAGCGGUGGAAUGCGUAGAGAUCCGGAAGAACACCAGUGGCGAAGGCGGCCCGCUGGGCAGUGGCUGACGCUGAAGCGCGACAGCGUGGGGAGCAAACA
rnacentral:rRNA from 1 species